rnacentral:sRNA from 1 species
UAAAGGAAAUUUUCUGGUGUUACACUAGU